GUGGGCCACGGGUGAGCUAGACGUUUGGUGAGCACCGCUGCGUCUCCGAAGCCGGGGAACCUGCAGAGGCAGCUGGCUUGUGAUAUUUCGCGUCGCCUGUGGGCUGUCUCCAGAACCCUCGCUCACCCGGCCCAGCCGCGCCUGUCUGUCUGGGGUCUGUGUAACUCCAAAGAAAGCGGCCGGGUCUCACUUCAAGUUUCCUCCAGAAGAAGUCAAGCCGUUGUCAGCGUUUCUGUUCUUUCUGGAAUCAUCCAUUCAUGUGUGCUUUCGGAAGUUAAAUUAUGUUCAAAGACAGAAUGAUUUUCCCACUACAAUUGAACUCAAAGUAAGUGAAGAAACAGAACAUGAUCGUUUCCUUUAAGAAUCGCUCCCUGUUAUAGUUCAAAUAACCUGCAAUGUGGAUUUAUUAGAGCUGAACGAUGGAAAAAAAUUUAAACAUUUUCAGUAUUUAAAAUAACUCCAUGAACUGUGGAUUUUACUUGGCAAAGUCACACAUCUCCAGC
rnacentral:lncRNA from 1 species